UACGGGGGGGGCAAGCGUUGUUCGGAAUUACUGGGCGUAAAGGGCCAGUAGGCGGCCAACUAAGUCCGACGUGAAAUCCCAAGGCUUAACCUUGGAACUGCGUCGGAUACUGGAUGGCUUGAAUUCGGGAGAGGGAUGCAGAAUUCCAGGUGUAGCGGUGAAAUGCGUAGAUAUCAAUCGGAACUCCGGUGGCGAAGGCGGCAUACUGGACGUUUUCUGACGCUGAGGCGCGAAAGCCAGGGGAGCAAACGGG
rnacentral:rRNA from 1 species